AUGAGUGCCUCUGAAAGGUGCACCGUCUUUGACAACUUCCUCGCCGACCCCAGGUACACCUUUGCAGGCUUCUCCAUCGACGUUGACAAAACCAGGCUGGAGAGCGUCAAACUGGAGGUCGCCAACUUCGUCGACAUCCAGAAGGAGUGGAGGGUGCCCGAGGCAACCAAGGCGUUGGACUCCCUUGGAGACGUCUCCGGCAUGCUCAUCGGCGACUACUACAACAACAUGAAGAAGAAGAUCACCGACGACGAGCACAAGCGCUGGGCCACCCUGCCUCUGUCCAUGAGGCACAUCGAGUGUGCGGCAAAGGACGCCUAUGCAGCGUACGAGAUAUGGAACCGCAUCACCCUCACCCAGGACGGCCUUCGCCAUGCAAAGCUGGAGAAGGAGGAGCCCCCCAAGAAGGACGCCAGGAGCAGCUAG
rnacentral:rRNA from 1 species